rnacentral:rRNA from 1 species
AUUGAACGCUGGCGGCAGGCCUAACACAUGCAAGUCGAGCGGAUGAAGGGAGCUUGCUCCUGGAUUCAGCGGCGGACGGGUGAGUAAUGCCUAGGAAUCUGCCUGGUAGUGGGGGAUAACGUCCGGAAACGGGCGCUAAUACCGCAUACGUCCUGAAGGAGAAAGUGGGGGAUCUUCGGACCUCACGCUAUCAGCUGAGCCUAGGUCGGAUUAGCUAGUUGGUGGGGUAAAGGCCUACCAAGGCGACGAUGCGUAACUGGUCUGAGAGGAUGAUCAGUCACACUGGAACUGAGACACGGUCCAGACUCCUACGGGAGGCAGCAGUAGGGAAUCUUCGGCAAUGGGCGAAAGCCUGAUGCAGCCAUGCCGCGUGAGUGAAGAAGGUCUUCGGAUUGUAAAGCUCUUUUAGUAGGGAAGAAGAACAGUGUAAGUAAAUCUGGCCGUCUUGACGGUACCUAAAGAGUAAGCACCGGCUAACUUCGUG